GAGCACAGUAAUGCCACUUGGUGUCUGAGAGGGAGUGCAACACCUUGAAGAGAGCUCUUUUCAGGGUUUUCUAGCUCCGGGGACUCUUCAUAGCUCCCUCCCUCUCCUCCCAAGCCUUCUGCUAUUGAUGCUUCAUUCCUUUUGCCUAUAACACUCCUCAUCUCACAGAACUGUUAAACUCCUGUGGGAAAUGGGCUGUUGAGUUACUUGCCCAAGGUCCCAGUGUAUUUAUGGCAAAACACAACUGAAUUCACACUGCUGAGAUCCCACUCUACACCAUUAAGCACAGGACCAUCUUUCCAGAUUUCUCCAUAGAGUCCACCCCGCCCAGCUGAUGCUCCAUACUGAACAGCUUGUUCGCCUGUAACCAUGACAACCACGAUGACAUCAGCAAGAGGAUCCAACAUCGCAGAGAGGACUCCAAUCUAAUUAAAUACUAAUAAUGCCUU